UACGUAGGGUGCAAGCGUUAAUCGGAAUGACUGGGCGUAAAGGGUGUGUAGGCGGUUUUUUAAGUCUGAUGUGAAAUCCCCGGGCUCAACCUGGGAACUGCGUUGGAUACUGGAGAACUAGAGUACGUAAGAGGGGGGUGGAAUUCCACGUGUAGCAGUGAAAUGCGCAGAUAUCAGGAGGAACACCCGUGGCGAAAGCGGCUCUCUGGGACGGUACUGACGCUGAGACGCGAAAGCGUGGGGAGCAAACAGG
rnacentral:rRNA from 1 species